GCUCGUAGUUGGACCUUGGGCCGGGUCAGCCGGUCCGCCUCACGGCGAGCACCGACCUACUCGACCCUUCCGCCGACAUCGCGCUCCUAGCCUUAAUUGGCCGGCUCGUGUUUUCGGCAUCGUUACUUUCAAGAAAUUAGAGUGCUCAAAGCAAGCCAUUGCUCUGGAUACAUUAGCAUGGGAUAACAUCAUAGGAUUCCGGUACUAUUGUGUUGGCCUUCAGGAUCGGAGUAAUGAUUAAUAGGGACUGUCGGGGGCAUUCGUAUUUCAUAGUGAGAGGUGAAAUUCUUGGAUUUAUGAAACACGAACAACUGCGAAAGCAUUUGCCAAGGAUUUUUUCAUUAAUCAAGAAC
rnacentral:rRNA from 16 species